rnacentral:rRNA from 1 species
GACAGAGGCCUCGAGCGUUAGGCGGAAUCACUGGGCUUAAAGCGUGUGUAGGCGGGCCCGUAAGUGUCUUGUGAAAUCCCAUGGCUCAACCGUGGAACUGCUGGGCAUACUGCGGGUCUUGGGCCAACUAGGGGCAGCCGGAACAAGCGGUGGAGCGGUGAAAUGCGUAGAUAUCGCUUGGAACGCCGAAGGUGAAAACAGGCUGCUGGGGUUGCGCCGACGCUGAGACACGAAAGCCAGGGGAGCAAACGGG